rnacentral:rRNA from 1 species
UACGUAGGGUGCGAGCGUUGUCCGGAAUUACUGGGCGUAAAGGGCUCGUAGGCGGUCAGGUAAGUGGGAUGUGAAAUGCCCCGGCUCACCCGGGGACCGGCAUCCCAUACUGCUUGGCUUGAGUACGGGAGAGGAUGUGGGAAUUCCUGGGGUAGCGGUGAAAUGCGUAGAUAUCAGGAGGAACACCGGUGGCGAAGGCGCACAUCUGGCCCGAUACUGACGCUGAGGCGCGAAAGCUAGGGGAGCAAGCGGG